CGACGGGCUCAUAUUGAAACCUAGUGAUGUAUGAGUUAGUGGCGGAUGGGUGAGUAACGCGUGGAGAACCUGCCGUAUACUGGGGGAUAACACUUAGAAAUAGGUGCUAAUACCGCAUAAGCGCACAGCUUCGCAUGAAGCAGUGUGAAAAACUCCGGUGGUAUACGAUGGAUCCGCGUCUGAUUAGCUGGUUGGCGGGGUAACAGCCCACCAAGGCGACGAUCAGUAGCCGGCCUGAGAGGGUGAACGGCCACAUUGGGACUGAGACACGGCCCAAACUCCUACGGGAGGCAGCAGUGGGGAAUAUUGCACAAUGGGGGAAACCCUGAUGCAGCGACGCCGCGUGAGUGAAGAAGUAUUUCGGUAUGUAAAGCUCUAUCAGCAGGGAAGAAAUACUGACCUUACGGUCAGCAGACGGUACCUGACUAAGAAGCCCCGGCUAACUACGUGCCAGCAGCCGCGGUAAUACGUAGGGGGCAAGCGUUAUCCGGAUUUACUGGGUGUAAAGGGAGCGUAGACGGCAGCGCAAGUCUGAAGUGAAAUCCCAUGGCUUAACCAUGGAACUGCUUUGGAAACUGUGCAGCUGGAGUGCAGGAGAGGUAAGCGGAAUUCCUAGUGUAGCAGUGAAAUGCGUAGAUAUUAGGAGGAACACCAGUGGCGAAGGCGGCUUACUGGACUGUAACUGACGUUGAGGCUCGAAAGCGUGGGGAGCAAACAGGAUUAGAUACCCUGGUAGUCCACGCCGUANACGAUGAUUACUA
rnacentral:rRNA from 1 species